rnacentral:rRNA from 1 species
CACAAGCGGUGGAUGAUGUGGAUUAAUUCGAUGCAACGCGAAAACCUUACCUACCCUUGACAUGUCCGGAAUCCUGCAGAGAUGCGGGAGUGCCGAAAGGGAAUCGGAACACAGGUGCUGCAUGGCUGUCGUCAGCUCGUGUCGUGAGAUGUUGGGUUAAGUCCCGCAACGAGCGCAACCCUUAUCAUUAGUUGCUACGCAAGGGCACUCUAAUGAGACUGCCGGUGACAAACCGGAGGAAGUGGGGAUGACGUCAAGUCCUCAUGGCCCUUAUGGGUAGGGCUUCACACGUCAUACAAUGGUCGGUACAGAGGGUUGCCAAGCCGCGAGGUGGAGCCAAUCCCAGAAAGCCGAUCGUAGUCCGGAUUGUUCUCUGCAACUCGAGAGCAUGAAGUCGGAAUCGCUAGUAAUCGCGGAUCAGCAUGUCGCGGUGAAUACGUUCCCGGGUCUU